rnacentral:SRP_RNA from 1 species
CAGCAGGGCGGGAAGCUAGGGGUUUCCCAUCCGCAAAUCCCCUUCAGGCGGGCCUAAUGCUAGUCGAGUGUUGCACGGUGCUGCGGAGCCCACGCUGAAGCGUCGAUGUUUCGCCUCUAGUGGUAGUUGCAUAUUCGAACCGGGCCAGGCCGGAAGGAGCAACCCUAAGUCUAUGCCUUCUAUGCUCUAGAGAUACGGGGCGGAGUGGAUGCGUGGUAAACUCUUCAGGGCUGUGUAAUGCAAGGCUAGCCGCUG